rnacentral:lncRNA from 1 species
AUGAAUACAAUAAAAUGGGAAUUGUUUUUCCGUUUGACACGUCUCAAUCAGAUAUCUUGGGCCUUCUACUCCACCCACCUCCAACCGGCCUCUAUAAAAGGUGGGCAAGAAGAACGGUUUAGCACAAGAGCAGACAAGAUGUGGAAGCAAAAGGGCAAAAUGCAGAAUAAACAGGCAAAAAAGGUGAGUCAGGGCUCAUCCUGGCAAGGGGAUCACAACGUCAGACUCCUAGGGGACGGAUCAGCUACAGAGCGGAACCUGUCAGUCCGCAGCGUGCAGGCGAAGCGCGACGGGAAAAAACAGAGAGAGGCGAGGAAGCUCAGUCAAGGCUGUCCCUCGAAUGAGGACGACGAUCUCGGCCUCCAGGGGAACGGUUCAGCCCCAGAAGGGAACCUGUCAGUCCGCAGCGUGCAGGCGAAGCGCGACGGGAAAAAACAGAGAGAGGCGAGGACGCUCAGUCAAGGCUGUCCCUCGAAUGAGGACGACGAUCUCGGCCUCCAGGGGAACGGUUCAGCCCCAGAGGGGAACCUGUCAGUCCGCAGCGUGCAGGCGAAGCGCGACGGGAAAAAACAGAGAGAGGCGAGGACGCUCAGUCAAGGCUGUCCCUCGAACGAGGACGACGAUCUCGGCCUUCAGGGAGGAAACAUCCUUCCCUUCGGUACCCCAACCCAGCGUGGCAUCCUAAAGGCGACGUAUUUGAACAACGACCAAGACAGCGCGGUACGAGACCAGACGCAGUCGAAGCGGGGUAAAGAAAAGAAAGGAUGUGGCAAAGAAAACAAAGAGAGUGGGGUAAAUGAAGAGCGCCGUGUGCUUUUCAGCGAAACCCCAGUUAGCGUAGGGUUUGUAUGUAUGUCAGAAGAAGCCAGGGAGACACGCUCGGCAUACUGGAUACGAGUCGCCGCUGAUGCCAGCAGGUUCCGCAGGAGGAUAAAAACCUUGGAGUGUAUGAUAUCCAGAUGUCUGGACGAGGACCACCGGGAACUCAUGAGGGACUACAUAGAAGAUACUGCAGCAGCUCCAAAUCCCAACUCCCCGAGCGCUCCUUGCCUCCCUCCUUGCCUAUUUACUUGCAAAAAAAUACUCACGUUUGAAUAA